rnacentral:ncRNA from 1 species
UUUCAUAAUAGUCACUCAUAUAAUCUCAGGAAUAUGGCCUGUAAGUUUCUACCAGACUACCGUAAAUAGUCUGACUAUGGGUGAGCAAUGU